rnacentral:tRNA from 1 species
AAAAUUUUAAGUUAAAUUUUUAAACUUUUAAUUUUCAAAGUUAAUAAUACUUUAAAAGGGGUAAAUUUUA